rnacentral:rRNA from 1 species
GACGAACGCUGGCGGCGUGCUUAACACAUGCAAGUCGAACGAAAAGACCCUGCGUUUGUGCGUUUCUCGUGUGGCGAGCGGGGGAGUAACACAUGAGUAUCAUGCCCUUGACUGUCGGGUAACUUCAGGAGACUGGGGAUAAUACAGCAGAUAAGCUCCUGCUGCAUGGUGGGGGUUGGAAAGUGUCGGCGGUGGGGGAUGUACUCGCGGCUUAUCCGCUUGUUGGUGGGGUAGUGGCUUACCAAGGCUGUGACGGGUAGCCGGCCUGAGAGGGUGACCGGGCACAAUGGUACUGAGGGACGGAGCAGACGCCUACGUGAGGCAGCAGGCGGGAAUCUGGCACAACGGGCGGACGCCUGAGGCAGCAACGCCGCGUGCGGGAUGCUGGCUUUCGGGUGGUAAACCGAUUUCGCCUGUGAUGUAGCGGGCGUGACGGUACUGGGUAAAGAAGCAACGGCUAACUACGUG